rnacentral:rRNA from 1 species
GAGCCAGACUCCUACGGGAGGCAGCAGUGGGGAAUAUUGCACAAUGGGGGAAACCCUGAUGCAGCGACGCCGCGUGAGUGAAGAAGUAUUUCGGUAUGUAAAGCUCUAUCAGCAGGGAAGAAGAAAGACGGUACCUGACUAAGAAGCCCCGGCUAACUACGUGCCAGCAGCCGCGGUAAUACGUAGGGGGCAAGCGUUAUCCGGAUUUACUGGGUGUAAAGGGAGCGUAGACGGCUGUGCAAGUCUGAGGUGAAAGCCCGGGGCUCAACCCUGGGACUGCUUUGGAAACUGUGGAGCUAGAGUGCUGGAGAGGUAAGUGGAAUUCCUAGUGUAGCGGUGAAAUGCGUAGAUAUUAGGAGGAACACCAGUGGCGAAGGCGGCUUACUGGACAGUAACUGACGUUGAGGCUCGAAAGCGUGGGGAGCAAACAGGAUUAGAUACCCCAGUA